GACUCAGUGGUCUAAUGGUCAGACGUUCGCCACAGAGUCAGUGUCGUGGAUUCGAUCCCCAAUAGGGUCG
rnacentral:tRNA from 1 species